CAGUAGCCGCGGGAAUACAGAGGAUGCAGGCGUUAUCCGGAAUUACUGGGCGUAAAGGGCGCGUAGGCGGCCAUUCAAGUUAGAUGUGAAAGCCCUGGGCUCAACCUAGGAAUUGCAUUUGAUACUGUUUGGCUUGAGUUCGGGAGAGGUGAGUGGAAUUCCCGGUGUAGAGGUGAAAUUCGUAGAUAUUGGGAAGAACACCAGUGGCGAAGGCGGCUCACUGGACCGACACUGACGCUGAGGCGCGAAAGCGUGGGGAGCAAACAGGAUUAGAUACCCCUGUAGUCCCUGUCUCUUAUAC
rnacentral:rRNA from 1 species